rnacentral:rRNA from 1 species
CAAUAGCGUAUAUUAACGUUGUUGCAGUUAAAAAGCUCGUAGUUGGAUUUCUGGAGGGAGCGUCGGCCCGUAUUUACGAGUGCGUGACGUCUCUGUCCAUCCUUGCGGGAAGGCACGGCAUUGAUUUGUUGUGUCGGAUCGCAUCAUUUACUGUGAAAAAAUUAGAGUGUUCAAAGCAGGCUUUCGCUUGAAUACAUUAGCAUGGAAUAAUAAGAUAGGACUUUGGUGCUAUUUUGUUGGUUGAGCCUAAAGUAAUGAUUAAUAGUGAUAGUUGGGGGCACCUGUAUUGCGUUGUCAGAGGUGAAAUUCUUGGAUUUACGCAAGACAAACAGCUGCGAAAGCGUCUGCCAAGGAUGUUUUCAUUAA